rnacentral:rRNA from 1 species
CCUACGGGUGGCAGCAGUGGGGAAUAUUGGGCAAUGGGCGCAAGCCUGACCCAGCAACGCCGCGUGAAGGAAGAAGGCUUUCGGGUUGUAAACUUCUUUUCUCAGGGACGAAGCAAGUGACGGUACCUGAGGAAUAAGCCACGGCUAACUACGGGCCAGCAGCCGCGGGAAUACGUAGGUGGCAAGCUUUAUCCGGAUUUACUGGGUGUAAAGGGCGUGUAGGCGGGAAAGCAAGUCAGAUGUGAAAACCAUGGGCUCAACCUGUGGCCUGCAUUUGAAACUGUUUUUCUUGAGUACUGGAGAGGCAGUCGGAAUUCCUAGUGUAGCGGUGAAAUGCGUAGAUAUUAGGAGGAACACCAGUGGCGAAGGCGGUCUGCUGGACAGCAACUGACGCUGAGGCGCGAAAGCGUGGGGAGCAAACAGGAUUAGAUACCCCUGUAGUC